rnacentral:tRNA from 1 species
UGGUGUAGUGGUCACUGCGCUCGCCUUCCACGCGGGAGACCCGGGUUCGAUUCCCGG